rfam:Plasmodium falciparum Palo Alto/Tganda unplaced genomic scaffold supercont1.145, whole genome shotgun sequence.
AUUUUAUAAAUGAUGAAAAUGUUUCAAACCAUUAUGUGGCAGACAUUUUUUGAGAAAUCAAAAU